rnacentral:rRNA from 1 species
AAACGACUCUCGGCAACGGAUAUCUCGGCUCACGCAUCGAUGAAGAACGUAGCAAAAUGCGAUACUUGGUGUGAAUUG